rnacentral:tRNA from 1 species
GGGGCUGUGGCUCAAUGGCAGAGCAGCCACUUCAUGUGUGGAAGGUCCUCAGUUCAAUUCCUGGUGUCUCCU